ACAUAAAACACAGAAAGAAAUGUUAGAUGCUAAAGAAAAAUAGAUAGAUUCUAGUCAAAGCAAUAACCAGGGCAAACAAGAGAAUAGCCUGUAUUCUAAACGGGCUGAGACUAGCUGGUGAUGAAGGUGCUGGAUUUCCGGGCCCACUGACAAUGAUGCGUUUGGGAUCCACAUGGGGAUCUCAUGUAUUUACCUUUCACAGGAGAGAGUGUAGCCUACGCCCUUUUGGUCCAUCUCUGGAUGGUCUUUGAGUCUCUGCUGAGUCUUGGAUCACUCAUCGCUCAUUCAUUCCACACCACUCCCCAGCGUGAAGCUCACAGACUUUACCAUCACCCAGUAACAGACAACCAAGUGCAUGUUUCUUUAAAUUCCAAACAUGCUUUUAACAUUCAACCCUUUCCCCCUACCCCUUUUCUGUAAUAUUAAAAGGAACAAGUAGAAAGUCUAUGAGGAAAUAAAGAAUCACAAAAAUAAUUCCUUAGAUUUACAAUAUUCUUUACAGAUCUCACAAAGCAUGUGCAUAAGCCUCAUCACAGGCCUGGUUAUUACUAACCCACCUAAGAAAGGGGAAACUGAGGCUCAGUGAUUAAGAGACACCUCAGUUAUCACUGUUAAUAAAUGAAGAAGGGAGGAUUUUCUGACUCGAAGGCCAGUGUGCUCUUUUCAGUAUAUUACUGUGCCUACAGAAGGAUAGAAAGGUAACAGUCCAGCGAAUAAUAAUUACAGCAAUACCAAUAAGGAUGACAGUGUAAACCUGAAUGGUAUUUUAUGCAGAGCAUUUCCACAUCUACCAUCACAUUUGAUUUUUUAACUGUGUAAAGAGUAAAGCAGACAUUAACAGCACCAUUUUACAGAUGAAGACACAGGCGCUCAAAGAAGUUGGGUGAUUUGACAAGAUCAUGAAUCACAUGGUCAAGAGAAGUCGUAGAGGGCCAAGAUUAGAUCCAGAGAGAGGCAAGAGGAGGCUGGAGACCUCAAGCUUAGACCCUCAUCUCUAUCCUGCUGGUGGGACCAUCCACCACAGAGUAACCUGUACUCAAUGACCAAAGACAAAAUUCCAAGUUUUAAUACAACUGGGACAUCUCUUCUGGCAGCUGGACUGCCUGAAAAAAAUAUAAUUUUUUUUUGGAGAGUUGGACUGACAGAAAUAUAAUUAUCUUUCCAGAAAAGAGAUUUUAUUUUGUUCUAGUAAACAUUAGGAAAAUAAGCUGAAAUUAAUCUAGAUGAGUACAGAGAUGGGUGCAGCUUCAGUACAUAAUGUAAUCAAAAUGCAACUUCAAAACAGGACCACAUACAUCUAUUUCUUCCCCCGCCUCAAACAACUACACGGCAGUAAAGGGAUUUUAGAAAAGAGCUAUGAGACAACAGUGGAUGAAAAGUUCAAUAACUCGGAGUUCCUGUCUUGGUGCAGCAGAAACGAAUCCAACUAGGAACCAUGAGGUUGCGGGUUCAAUCCCUUGCCCCACUCAGUGGGUUAAGGAUCCGGUGUUGCCGUGAACUGUGGUGUAGGUCACAGACGCGGCUCGAAUCUGGUGUUGCUGUGGCUCUGGGGUAGGCCGGCAGCAACAGUGCCAAUAGGACCCCUAGCCUGGGAACCUCCAUAUGCUGCGGGUGUGACCCUAAAAGGACAAAAGACAAAAAAAGUUCAAUAACUUCAGAAAAACGGCAAGUGGCUGGAGGGGUGAUAAUGGAUUUAAAAGAAGAAUGACAGAAAGACAAAGACAAAUACCAUAUGAUAUCACUUAUAACUGGAAUCUAAUAUCCAGCACAAAUGAACAUCUAUCUCCUCAGAAAAGAAAAUCAUGGACUUAGAGAAGAGACUUGUGGCUGCCUGAUGGGAGGGGGAGGGAGUGGGAGGGAUCCGGAGCUUGGGCUUAUCAGACACAACUUAGAACAGAUUUACAAGGAGAUCCUGCUGAAUAGCAUUGAGAACUUUGUCUAGAUACUCAUGUUGCAACAGAAGAAAGGGUGGGGGAAAAAUGUAAUUGUAAUGUAUACAUGUAAGGAUAACCUGACCCCCUUGCUGUACAGUGGUAAAAUAAAAAAAAUUAUAAAAAAAAUAAAAGAAGAAUGGAGGCAAAACCCGGGUGCUUAGUCAAGGGGUGAUGAUGAGAACAGAGACCCCUUCAGUCCUCCAAAAGCUCAGAACUUACACAGGCGAGGAACAGCAGGGUGAGGGAACUGAGAGAAAACCUGCCCACCAACAACAGAGGCACCCCCCAAGCCCCUUCCCUCACUCAUGACAUGCCCUCAAUCUGAGCAAAGAUGUUGAUUCCAACCCCCACCCCACCUCCUCCAGGAAAGAUAUUAAAGGACUGAUCUCUGGAGAAAUGGAGUUGCCCAGAGAAAAGACUUCAAAUACAGAUGUCUGGGAAAACCCCCUGCAAGACAAAAGCCGGCUCCCCAACUAGCAACACUGGAGGCAGGACCCAGAGCCAGACACCUGCUCAGGCCACAGUUGCCCAGCAGCUCUGGAAUUUCACCAGCACACGUGGACAGCCAGCCAGAGCACACCAGGUAUUUCAGGAAAACUACUAACAGAAACAAGACAAAUCAUUUAAAAAAGAAGGAAAAGCAAUUGGAUAAAAGUGAGACAACCCAGGGAGUAGAGGAAUGCUUUUUUUAAAGAUACAAUAAACAUUCCCCUGGAAUACUUUUUAAAAGCUAUCAUAAAUGUCCUCAGAGAGGAUAUUAUAUCCCUGAAAUGAGAACAAGAUACAACUGAAAUAACAACAAGCAGAGGAUAAGAGAACAUUCUUGAAGAAUAAAAAUGGGAUGCUAAUACCAAAAAUGCAAAAGCUAAACUACGAGUGAAGUCAAGUCAGAGUCAGUGUCCCGUACCGCAAUGCCAGCUGCCUUCAUUCCAGUCCCCCCACACCCUAUAAGACCACACAGAUCAGCAAGGAUAACAAAACCACCCUUAACCCCACGCCUACUACAAAACUAGGAGUCAGAGAGUACCACAAACUUCAGUUUGCAGGUAAGUAGAGAAGUGAACAUCUGAAACCAGCUGAGUCAGGGUCCAAACUCACACUAGAGAGUCAGGCAAAGAGGGCACAGAAAAGAGGCAGCGCGGUUCCAGCGUCAGACACGGAUCAAAUUUAUCCCCCACAAGGUCACAUCCCAAAGAGGAAAAUAACGAGGAAAAGUCUGAAACCCGGCAGGAUCAGAGCAGAGGCUACUAAGAACUGGAAGGAAGCGACUAGGAAGCACUUGCAGCCAGCAGUUGGGGAAGGCGUUGCUUCUGGGGAAAAGAGACAACUUAGACGAGGGAGACAGGCCUUGACAGUUCGGUGCAAAGGCAAAGAAGGAAGUGAUGGAAGUUCAGGGUCCUAAAGAAACAUAAGAGAAUCACAACCAGAGGUCACGCCAACCCCAUUCGCCACCCAAAAAGGAAGCAGUGUCCAGUGAAGAAACUGAACUUCUCCAAACGAAUAGAAUCAGGUACUCAUGAAUUACAAACCUCUCACCCCAGUCCAUACUGAAUCUCUGUUGUCACUGAUACAGGAAAAUAAAGUCAUUUCAAAGUAACCCUAAGACAUCAGGAAAGGGUUUACAAAGCUACCAUGUGAAAAAAUGCUUCAAGUCAGAAUUUCAAAUACUAUAGCAAUAGAAAUGGAGAAAAGACAAAUGUUGACCAAAAUCAGAAAAAAAACAAGAUAAAAUCAUCUCAUGAUUUAUAUACUUAUAUAUUGCUUCACUGAAAAAAAAAAAUUCAUGGUACCUCACUUCAUGGAGUAUUGUGAAGAUUAGGUUAAAAAAAAAAAA